rnacentral:rRNA from 1 species
CAUGCUGUAAACGUUGGGCACUAGGUGUGGGGGGCCUUUCCGGGUUUUCUGCGCCGUAGCUAACGCAUUAAGUGCCCCGCCUGGGGAGUACGGCCGCAAGGCUAAAACUCAAAGGAAUUG